UGCUGAGGAGUUCCACAAUAGGACGAAACGGCCGUCCA
rfam:Schistosoma mattheei strain Denwood, Zambia genome assembly, scaffold: SMTD_scaffold0024310